AUUGAACGCUGGCGGAAUGCUUUACACAUGCAAGUCGAACGGUAGAGGGGGCAACCCCUCGAGAGUGGCGAACGGGUGAGUAAUAUAUCGGAACGUGCCCAGUCGUGGGGGAUAACGUAGCGAAAGUUACGCUAAUACCGCCUACGAUCUCAGGAUGAAAGCGGGGGAUAGCAAGACCUCGCGCGAUUGGAGCGGCCGAUAUCAGAUUAGGUAGGUGGUGGGGUAAAGGCUCACCAAGCCAACGAUCUGUAGCUGGUCUGAGAGGACGACCAGCCACACUGGAACUGAGACACGGUCCAGACUCCUACGGGAGGCAGCAGUGGGGAAUUUUGGACAAUGGACGCAAGUCUGAUCCAGCCAUUCCGCGUGCAGGAUGAAGGCCCUCGGGUUGUAAACUGCUUUUGUACGGAACGAAAAGGUCUCUCUUAAUACGGGGGACUCAUGACGGUACCGUAAGAAUAAGCACCGGCUAACUACGUGCCAGCCGCCGCCGUAAGAC
rnacentral:rRNA from 1 species